CUUCAGUCUCCGCAAUUAAGUCGUACAGCAGGCAUGCCCCCUGUUGCAGCUGCGCUGUCAAUCUCAUUUUGAAGCACAAAUGAUCUUAGACCCAGUGUUUGACAUGGGGUUUUAACACCAAAGAAGGCAAUUCUGCAACUUCAAAUGAGCCUAAUUGGCUGAGCGCUCGGGCGUUCACUCAAGCUGCUUCAGUCCAUCAGAGAGAGAUUUCCCGCUAAUUGAACUGCUCAGAAGGAAAAGGACCACGAGGAAUCACGAGGUGCCGAACCAUUGGAGAGGGUGGUAUACAUUUUUUUCAUGAUAGCAAACUUAAAGAUACAUUCCUCCUCCUUAAUCAGCCACCUGUCAACAUAAAAAAGGAUGUUGACAUCUUUGAAGAGCCCAGGCCAUUGUCCAGUACAAUUUUCACAAUCUGGCUUUAUCUAAUCAUUUCCUCAUGAAUGGACUCAGAUUAAACAUUUUUGUCAAGAAGGUUACCUAGGCUGUUGAAGAACGUGUCCGGGAAGACUGGAGGCUGUAUAAAUUGUUUCCUUUUUCCUUUCGAGAAACAACGUCAAAAAGAAAUGGCUGUGUUUCCUCCUGUCUACAUACAGAGAAACCCUUUGGAAAGUGGUGAAUUUUUCAGGGAGUGUCUUAAGCUUGAAAAGCAGGCAAUCAUAGGAUAGAAAUGUGAAAAGAUUUUCAGCUGGCAAUCCCAGAGGACUUGAUUUAUAAAUGUACUUCCUCUAUAUUUUGGAUUUAAUUUCCUAUCUUUUUGUCUAACCUGAAUGUUAAGAGUUGGGGGAAAAAUGGCCAAAUUCAAACACCUUUCUACUAUCCAAGAUUGAGGUUUCAC
rnacentral:lncRNA from 1 species